AACGAACGCUGGCGGCAGGCUUAACACAUGCAAGUCGAACGGGUGUAGCAAUACAUCAGUGGCAGACGGGUGAGUAACACGUGGGAACCUUCCUAGGGGUACGGAACAACUCAGGGAAACUUGAGCUAAUACCGUAUACGUCCGUAAGGAGAAAGAUUCAUCGCCCCUAGACGGGCCCGCGUCGGAUUAGGUAGUUGGUGGGGUAACGGCCUACCAAGCCUACGAUCCGUAGCUGAUCUGAGAGGAUGAUCAGCCACACUGGGACUGAGACACGGCCCAGACUCCUACGGGAGGCAGCAGUGGGGAAUCUUGGACAAUGGGCGCAAGCCUGAUCCAGCCAUGCCGCGUGAGUGAAGAAGGCCUUAGGGUUGUAAAGCUCUUUUACCAGGGACGAUAAUGACGGUACCUGGAGAAUAAGCCCCGG
rnacentral:rRNA from 1 species